UACGUAGGGUGCGAGCGUUGUCCGGAAUUAUUGGGCGUAAAGAGCUCGUAGGCGGUUUGUUGCGUCGGCCGUGAAAACCUGCAGCUUAACUGUGGGCCUGCGGCCGAUACGGGCAGACUUGAGUUCGGUAGGGGAGACUGGAAUUCCUGGUGUAGCGGUGAAAUGCGCAGAUAUCAGGAGGAACACCGGUGGCGAAGGCGGGUCUCUGGGCCGAUACUGACGCUGAGGAGCGAAAGCGUGGGGAGCAAACAGG
rnacentral:rRNA from 1 species